AUGUGGGAGACUGCUCUUCAGGAGUUGGCGGAAACAGCGCCACUCCUUCCCCGGAGGAGGGCCGGGUGGAGAAUCUUCAGUUUACGUUUCUUUCUGUUCCGCCGCUGGUCCAACGGCCGGCGGCACCCACUUUUUUUCAAUAAAAGAGCAAUUUCCCUUUCCUCCGAGUUGCAAGGCUCGUGGGUUGACGAUGAGCGACGCACUGCCUCCUCAUUCUCACCCACGACGCCCCCUUCGCCAGCGGUCAAGAGGUCGCGGUUCGGAGACGCAACGCCUCUCCACGCGUCUCUGGCCAGUUCCUCCGGGAACACGGGGAGUGUGGCUGUGAUGACUCGGAACGCGAUGCUUUCUGGGCCAUCCGACACAGCUCCCCAUCGCUGCACCACUGCGGGUAUGUCGACUGUCCCUUUGGUUCCACUUGUACGGAGUUUGGGAGCGUGGCUUGCGCUGCCCAACCCGUCACGCUGGCUCAUUCGGACGGUCCGACUCGGUUACGCGAUUCAGUUCGCCCGGCGACCUCCCAAGUUCAAUGGCGUGCUCGAGACUUCGGUGGCAGUCCGGGACGCCUCUGUCUUGCGCGAGGAGAUUGCUGUCCUCCUGGCGAAGGAUGCAAUCGAGCCGGUCCCUCCAGCCGAGAUGAGGACGGGGUUUUACAGCCCUUACUGCAUCGUACCCAAGAAAAAGCGGUGGCCUUCGACCUAUCCUGGAUCUGCGAGUCUUGAAUCGGGCCCUGCACAAGCUCCCGUUCAAGAUGUUGACGCAGAAACGCAUUAUCAAAUGCGUUCAGCCCCAGGACUGGUUUGCAGCGAUCGACCUGAAAAGACGCGUACUUUCAUGUCUCGAUCCUCCCUCGUCACAGACCGUUUCUGCGGUUUGCAUUCGAGGGUCAGGCAUGGCAGUACAAGGUCCUCCCCUUCGGGCUCUCCCUGUCUCCCCGUGUCUUCACGAAGGUCGCGGAGGGCGCCCCUUGCCCCACUUUGGGAAGUGGGCGUCAGGAUCCUCAACUAUCUCGACGACUGGCUCAUUAUGGCCCGGUCCCGAGAGGAGUUGUGCGAUCACAGGGACUUCGUGCUCCGGCACCUCAGUCAGUUGGGGCUUCAGGUCAACCGAGAGAAGAGCAAGCUCUCCCCUGCGCAGAGAAUCUCUUAUCUCGGUAUGGAGUUAGACUCGGUGAGUAUGACGGCACGUCUCACCAGCGAGCGUGCCCAGUCAGUGCUGAACUGCCUGAGUUCCUUCAGAGGCAGGACAGUGGUACCACUGAAACACUUUCAGAGGCUCCUGGGGCAUAUGGCAUCCGCAGCCGCAGUCACGCCGCUCGGGUUGCUUCAUAUGAGGCCACUUCAGCACUGGUUGCACUCCCGAGUCCCGAGAUGGGCAUGGCGCCGCGGUACACAUCGUGUCACCAUCACACCGAUGUGUCGCCGCCAAUUCAGCCCCUGGUCAGACCUUGCCUUUCUACGGGCCGGCGUGCCCUUAGAACAAGUGUCCCGGCAUGUUGUUGUCACAACAGAUGCCUCCAAAACGGGCUGGGGCGCGACAUGCAACGGGCAGGCAGCUUCAGGGUCCUGGACAGGACCUCGACUGCUUUGGCACAUCAACUGUCUGGAGUUGCUGGCAGUGCAUCUAGCUUUACGGCGGUUUCGGCCGCUGUUGCUGGACAAGCACGUGUUGGUCCGCACGGACAACACUGCGGCUGUUUCGUACAUCAACCGACAGGGCGGUCUACGAUCACGUCGCAUGUCUCAACUCGCCCGCCAUCUCCUCCUCUGGAGUCAGACGCGGCUCAAGUCGCUGCGCGCUAUCCACAUCCCAGGGGAGCUCAAUCGUGCAGCCGAUGCGCUCUCACGACAGCUCACUUUCCCUGGGGAAUGGCGACUCCAUCCCCAGACGGUCCAGCUGAUCUGGAGUCGAUUCGGGAAGCCCAGGUAG
ensembl:lncRNA